rnacentral:rRNA from 1 species
UACGAACGCUGGCGGCAUGCCUAACACAUGCAAGUCGAACGAGACCUUCGGGUCUAGUGGCGCACGGGUGCGUAACGCGUGGGAGCCUGCCCUUAGGUUCGGAAUAACUCCCCGAAAGGGGUGCUAAUACCGGAUAAUGUCUUCGGACCAAAGAUUUAUCGCCUUUGGAUGGGCCCGCGUUGGAUUAGCUAGUUGGUAGGGUAAAAGCCUACCAAGGCGACGAUCCAUAGCUGGUCUGAGAGGAUGAUCAGCCACACUGGGACUGAGACACGGCCCAGACUCCUACGGGAGGCAGCAGUGGGGAAUAUUGGACAAUGGGCGAAAGCCUGAUCCAGCAAUGCCGCGUGAGUGAUGAAGGCCUUAGGGUUGUAAAGCUCUUUUACCCGGGAUGAUAAUGACAGUACCGGGAGAAUAAGCUCCGGCUAACUCCGUG